rnacentral:lncRNA from 1 species
AUGAAAACGGCCAGGAGCAGAGGCUGCGAGGAGAGGGCUGCAAGAGGGGGGCAAGGCAGCCACUUGCAAAACUCCCCUCUUCCCCCCCGCCCCCGGUCCCCUUCCUCUCAGAAAGUGCCCGCGGCGCUGCUUGGGGGGCAGCUUUCCCUCCCGCGCCGUCGGGCGCUCGCCGAAACGCGGCUCCGCGGAGCCCCCGGCCCCCGCAGCGACGCCUCCGCGCCCGCGGCCGCGUCCUCCGCGCACGGGGCGCUCCUCGACCCCGAGCCGUCCGGCUACGCUGAAUUAUUAUUAUUUUUAAAUCGGAGCCGGGGGGAUGGGGCCGGGGGGAGGAUAAAUCCUUGCCAGCCCUCCCCGCCCCCACGGCAGGAGCUGGGUUCCCACGAACCGAGUUCCCUUCGCCCGCCCUCACCCCCAGCCGCCGCCCCGGCCUCCGGCGCUGCCCCGAAACUCCUCGGCUCGUACCUGCCUGCGAGGCGGCCGAGCCGGGCGCGGACGGGGCCGCGGGGCAGCAGGGGCAGGGGCCGCGGGGCGCCGCCGCCGCGCCCGAGCAGCCCGGCGGCGAGAGGCAUCGCACUACUCACGCGUCAGCAGGAGCCCGGCGGGGCCGUGCCGUGCCGUGCCGUGCCGUGCCGUGCCGUGCCGUGCCGAGCCGUGCCGUGCUGUCCCGAGCCGUGCCGUGCCGUGCCGUGCCGUGCCGUGCCGUGCCGUGCCGUGCCGUCGGCGGGGGGCUCGGCUCGGCGGGGCGCGGCGGCCCCGGUGCCGCUGCCGGGAGCGCGGCCGGCUCUGCGCGCAGCGCGGCUGGGCGCGGGGCUUUUGCCGGCUGCCCCGCACGGAGCCGGGCUGACGUCACGCCGGGGGAGGGGGACACGUUUUUUCCCAGCCUCCCCCCCCUUCUCUCUCUCUUUUUUUUCUUCUUCUUCUUUUUUUUUUUUCCCUUGCCAGCUGGCUCCCGCAGCCGAAUUCACUCCCGGCCCGGUUGUUUAUCAUGGAAACGCUGUGACAGCACCUGCAGCCGCGCCGCGCCCAGGACAGCGCGGGGACUCGGGAGCUGGGGAAUGGAACAAGGAAAAUUCUCAGGCUAUGACUCUCUGGGAGCCUCAGGAAAUGGAAGGCCAGGAGGCUCAAACGUACCCACCAGAAGUCGUCUUACAGCAUGAAGAAAAGAAUGAAGCAAGGAACGAAGCAAAAAUAUUGGUGAGGGACAGCGAGAUGAAUCUUCCUGAUGAUGGAUAG